rnacentral:rRNA from 1 species
CAGCCGCCGCGGGAAUACGUAGGUGGCAAGCGUUGUCCGGAAUUAUUGGGCGUAAAGGGCUCGCAGGCGGUUUCUUAAGUCUGAUGUGAAAGCCCCCGGCUCAACCGGGGAGGGUCAUUGGAAACUGGGAAACUUGAGUGCAGAAGAGGAGAGUGGAAUUCCACGUGUAGCGGUGAAAUGCGUAGAGAUGUGGAGGAACACCAGUGGCGAAGGCGACUCCCUGGUCUGUAACUGACGCUGAGGAGCGAAAGCGUGGGGAGCGAACAGGAUUAGAUACCCCUGUAGUCCCUGUCUCUUAUAC